rnacentral:rRNA from 1 species
UGCAGUCGACGACUCUGGUAUUGAUUGGUGCUUGCUCAUGAUUUACAUUUGAGUGAGUGGCGAACUGGUGAGUAACACGUGGGAAACCUGCCCAGAAGCGGGGGAUAACACCUGGAAACAGAUGCUAAUACCGCAUAACAACUUGGACCGCAUGGUCCGAGCUUGAAAGAUGGCUUCGGCUAUCACUUUUGGAUGGUCCCGCGGCGUAUUAGCUAGAUGGUGAGGUAACGGCUCACCAUGGCAAUGAUACGUAGCCGACCUGAGAGGGUAAUCGGCCACAUUGGGACUGAGACACGGCCCAAACUCCUACGGGAGGCAGCAGUAGGGAAUCUUCCACAAUGGACGAAAGUCUGAUGGAGCAACGCCGCGUGAGUGAAGAAGGGUUUCGGCUCGUAAAACUCUGUUGUUAAAGAAGAACAUAUCUGAGAGUAACUGUUCAGGUAUUGACGGUAUUUAACCAGAAAGCCACGGCUAACUACGUGCCAGCAGCCGCGGUAAUACGUAGGUGGCAAGCGUUGUCCGGAUUUAUUGGGCGUAAAGCGAGCGCAGGCGGUUUUUUAAGUCUGAUGUGAAAGCCUUCGGCUCAACCGAAGAAGUGCAUCGGAAACUGGGAAACUUGAGUGCAGAAGAGGACAGUGGAACUCCAUGUGUAGCGGUGAAAUGCGUAGAUAUAUGGAAGAACACCAGUGGCGAAGGCGGCUGUCUGGUCUGUAACUGACGCUGAGGCUCGAAAGUAUGGGUAGCAAACAGGAUUAGAUACCCUGGUAGUCCAUACCGUAAACGAUGAAUGCUAAGUGUUGGAGGGUUUCCGCCCUUCAGUGCUGCAGCUAACGCAUUAAGCAUUCCGCCUGGGGAGUACGGCCGCAAGGCUGAAACUCAAAGGAAUUGACGGGGGCCCGCACAAGCGGUGGAGCAUGUGGUUUAAUUCGAAGCUACGCGAAGAACCUUACCAGGUCUUGACAUACUAUGCAAAUCUAAGAGAUUAGACGUUCCCUUCGGGGACAUGGAUACAGGUGGUGCAUGGUUGUCGUCAGCUCGUGUCGUGAGAUGUUGGGUUAAGUCCCGCAACGAGCGCAACCCUUAUUAUCAGUUGCCAGCAUUAAGUUGGGCACUCUGGUGAGACUGCCGGUGACAAACCGGAGGAAGGUGGGGAUGACGUCAAAUCAUCAUGCCCCUUAUGACCUGGGCUACACACGUGCUACAAUGGAUGGUACAACGAGUUGCGAACUCGCGAGAGUAAGCUAAUCUCUUAAAGCCAUUCUCAGUUCGGAUUGUAGGCUGCAACUCGCCUACAUGAAGUCGGAAUCGCUAGUAAUCGCGGAUCAGCAUGCCGCGGUGAAUACGUUCCCGGGCCUUGUACACACCGCCCGUCACACCAUGAGAGUUUGUAACACCCAAAGUCGGUGG